AACAUUUUUAUCACCUCAGAAAGACACUCCCCACCCUGUGGCAUUGCCCUUGCCCCUAAUCCUCCAUGCCCCCACUUUCCUGCCUCGGGCAGGCAGUAAUCUACUUCCUGUCUCUACAGAUUUGUCUGUUCUGGACAUUUUGUAAGAAUGGAAUGAUAAAGUAUGUGGUCUUUUGUGAACAGCUUCUUUCACUUUGCAUGGUGCUCUCAACGCUCAUCCAUGCUGUAGUACAUCUUAGAACUUUAUUCCUUUUAAUGACUGAAUACCACCACAUUUUCAUUUAUCCAUCUGUCAGUUGGUAGACAUUUGGGCUAUUUACACUUUUUGGCUUCUGUGAGUAAUGCAGCUAUGAACAUUCACAUGUGAGUUUGUGUGUGGACGUAUGUUUUCAUUUCUCUCGGGUUCACACCUAGGACUGGGAUUGCUGGGUCAUGUGGUAACUCCACGUUUAACUUUCUGAGGAACCGCCAGGGGCGCAUCUUAUGUUGCCUUUUCCCUUUUUUGUAUUCUGGAAAUUUCCUACCACUGAAAGCAGAGAAAACACUAACGAUCACCCCGUACUCAUCAACCAGGUUCAACGAUCGUCAACCUGUUGUCAGUGUUGGUUCUUCAGCCUUUCCUCCUCCACUUUGUUUCCCACUAAGAAGUUGGAAACCAGUUUAAUCACCGCACUUGGUUGAGAGGUUAACAUUUUCUUUUGCCUCAAACCUUCAGUUCCAGUCUCCUACCCCCCACAUACUCCCACAAGUGUGGGUGGAACUUGGGGAGAAUGGAGGAGUUGGGGCAGAAUCUAGAGUGGGUAAACGUGGGGUGGAAGAGGAAUAGUUCCUGAGUGAAGGGGGACUAGCCACAUAAUAUAUAAAGUGAAAGUGUGGAGCUCUUUAUUCAAAAAUUAUUAAUAAGUUUGCGAUGAUAACAGCAGAGCACAAAAGCAAAUGUUGGCCCUGGGUAACCGCACAGGUCACGUGUCCAUGAGCCAGCAGAAGGCUUCCCAAGCAGAACCGAUUCAUUGGACACAGGAAUUUAGAGCCUUUGGUGCCCAGGAGAGACACAGGCAUCCCUUACUGCUGAUCCCUGGGAGGGUUCCAAGGACAGUCGGGUCUCCCAUGGCAUGUGGGACAGGGCUCAAUCCCACUGCAUUUGAAUCUCCAGAAAUAAGAUGACCCCAGCUGACAUGUAGGCUAUAAGUCCUUGAAAAAAAUAGCCAUUUGUCUUAAGCCUUCUUCCCUAAGAGCCUACAGUUGUUUGAGUUGGCCGUACCAUCCUGCCCCGGACUCUGAGUGUACUUUCAUAUUACAGCAGAAGACCAGGCUCCAGUCCUCAGAGCAGAGGCCCACGGGUUAGCAAACCACCAGAGCAGUGGGAGGACCAGAAAUGCCCAUUCCAGGCAGGUGGCCAUGGCAGACACUGGCAACCAGUCGUGGCACCCGAUCCUUCCCGGCCCAGACAGAGCUCUAUUAUCUUUCUCAAAGAGUGGCCUCCACCAACCAACUGAACCUAUUUCCUGCUCUCACCUAGACUCUCAACCCAAGAACUCAUCUAGAGAUUCAGCCUUCAGUGGGUGUCAGGAUGGCACCCUGGAUGCACUUAUACUAACAACCUUAUUGUGAAGGGGUAUACAGCACCGCUGGGCAGAGCGGGGAGAAUGACUCACUGAGGAGAGAACAGAUAAGGAUGUAGCAGCUCCUCCCGUUUUCUGUGGGAUAUUCAAUGAAUGAGCGAAUGUUCAUUCAUUUGUCCAAUUAUUUGAGUACCUACUAUACUUAUGGGGCUGUGUACUGGGCUUGAGCAAUGUAGUAACCAACAGGACAGGUCCUCCCCAUAGAGGCAGGAGAGGCAAUCAUAAACCAAAAAUAAACAUUUUAAAUGUGAUUAAAGUACUGUAAUAACAAUUACAGAAAACUACACCAAUAAGGUCUAAAUGAAUUCUGGCAGCUUUGGGGUUUAUAGACACCCAGAGUGAAUGAAUCUUAAAGCGAAGCCCGGCUCAGCAGAGUGAAGGUAGGAGCAACACCCUCAGGAGCAGGUUCCAGAGAUAGGUGGCCCUGUCUCUGUUUUUGUUUUUGUUUUUUUUCCUGCCAGCACUUUCUCACCCACUUCCAGUAACAAACGGGAGCUGCGGUGGGAAUGUGGCUGAAGAUGGCCACUCAUGACACCCAUCCCUCAGCUACAGUAAUUGGUCCAGGUGUGGACAUGUGACCAAACACCACCACCAAUCAUGGCAGCUCACUUCUUAGCCUGGCCACAGUGAUUGGUUCAGGUGUGGUCAGGGGACCCAAGCAGGGCCAAAACAGAAUUGUCCUAACUGGAGGUGGUGGGAAGGUUGCUUUUCCACCCUCUCCUGUGUCCAGAGCUAUUGGUAGCCCAAUAUUGAGGCCAAUAAGCAGAGAAGGAGAAAUGAGAGGUGGAAGGGAGGUAGGAAGGUAGGGGAGUAGGAGAGGGACUACUGCUGUGUUCUGACCCCACUGCCUCCCAGUCCUGGGGCCCAGGAGCAGCUCUGCCUCUCCCUUUCUUCAUUGUAGCUACCUGAGUGAAUAAAUCCCCCAUUUUACCCCAGUAAGAUAAACUCUGGUUUCUGUGUGGCCAAAAUUUCCCAACUGCAGACUUGGGGACUGUUUCCCUCUUCAUGGAUUGUGUGAAACUCAGAGAGGAAGGCUGUCUCCAGAACUCAUUCUCCCCUAGGGCGCUUGCUGGACUGGAGAAUAAAAGAACCCCCAGAUGCAUCUCCAUGUGCCCCUCCCCAUUAACUUCCCACUGAAUCAGGGCUAACCCCUCCCACCCUCUUCCUGCUUGCCUCCACCUCAACUUCACCCCCAGCACACACCCACCUCUCCCACCCGGUUCUGCACCACGGACAGCGUGAAGCUUGUCCUGGCCUCUGCUCUGAAGCCUGCCACGUUAUAUUUGUAAUGAUUUGUUGAUGCCUGUUCCCCCCAUGAGCAGGAACCUUGAGCAUGGGGACCUGGGUCUUACUUAUCUUUCCACCCCCACCUGCUGGCACACAACAGGGAGGCAGCAAGCUUGGGAAGGAGGGAGGCAGGAGAGGAAGAAAGAAGGGAGGAAAGGGAACAUCUUCCCAUUUAUUCUGGUCCAACUGAUGAGUCACACAGUAGGUCAAGUUUAAUACUGGUUUUCUCUGUUCCAGUGUCCCGUUCCUGACUCCUUCCCUUCUCUAUGUUUCUUUCUUACUCUCUUGCACACCUUCCACUACCAUCAGUGCUUCUCUAUGCUCCAUCUGCUUUACUUACUAUCUCUCACUGAAAAGUCACCUCCAGGUGGGUAGCCAUCUUUGUUGUGUUCUCUGCAGUAUCCUCAGCACCUAGAACUCUGCCUGUCACCUAGUAGAUGCUCAAUAAAUAUCUUUGGGGUGCCUAUAUGAAUCCUUUGUGUUCACCAAAACCACAGUUCUACCAAGCUUGUUUCUUAGAAGACCUAGGCACUGCAUACAUUUUAUAGGUGUUGUAAAGGUCAGUGAUGAAUUCAUUUCCUGUUUCUGCAACAGAUGACAGUGACCCUUGAACAACAUGGGCUUGAACAGCAUGGGUCCACUUAUACACUUUUUCCCCAAUAAGUACCUGUAGUGUUUCGCUCUGUGGUUGGGCGUCCACAGACGCAGAGAGCUGACUCUAGGCAUGGAUCUACGUAGCUUUAUAUGCAGGACUUGAGCACCUGCAGACUUUGGUAUCCGUGGGAGGUCCUGGAACCAAUCCCCCGAGGACACCGAGGGGCAACUAAGUUUUGGGGAGUCCAAGUUAUACACGGAUUUUUGACUGAGUGGGAGGUUAUGCCCCUGACACCUACAUUGUUCGAGUGUCAACUAUACUACAAACUAAGGGGCUUAAACAACAAACACUUACUAUUUCACAGUUCUGGAGACUGGGAGUCCAAAAUCUGGCAGGCCGACGCUCCCCUCAGGGGCUUCAGGGGAAAAUCUGUUCCCCCCCUCUUCUAGCUUCUGGCGGCUCCGAUAUCCUUGUGGCCACUCUGCUCCAGUCUCUGUCCUUGUCUCUCUAUAUUUUUCUCUCCGCGUCUGUCUCUGCUUCUGUCUUAUAAAAGUGCACAUGAGGUUGCAUGUAGUGCCCUGGGUAAUUAUCCUGGAUAAUUCAGGAUAAGCAGCUCCUCUCAAGACCCUUAACUUAGUCCUAUCUUUGCCGUACAAGGCAAUGCUCGCAGGUACGGGGGACUGGGAAAUGGGCAUAUCUUCUCCCCCUGGGGACCACCAUGUAGCCCACUGCAAGUCCUUUGCACAAAGACCAGAAAAGCAAAGAUUUCCACCGCCACUCCAUUGGCCUGACAUGUAAUGUGAUGAAAAGAGUAGUAUUUUGGGGGGUUAUGUUGCUCCAGUCAGAGUGUGGAAAUGCUUUUUAAAACACCAUUUUAUGUUUUUUAAUUAUCCUAAUUUUAAAAAAAUAAUAGCAUGCUUAUGAUGAGAAAAACAGUGCAGAAGAGUAAACUGUGGGAAAUAAAGGAGCCUCUUUGCAAUUUUUCUUGAACUCCAGCUGCACUUUCUAAAAAGUAACCACUGUAGGCAAGUCUGCAUAAUCUUCAUAAAUUUUCUAAACAUAUUCACAUGCAUACACGUUAUUUCUCAUAACAGUAAGAAAAUUAGGGAGUGUUAUAAUGUAUCCUGAAGACAGGACAGCCCUCCCACCCACUUCAUUCUUUCUAGUGACUUCUAGCGAUGCGCCUACUCCCUUGUCCCUCACUGGCCGGCGUCUCACUUCAGCUCUCGAUUUUGCCGUUAUACCAUAUAUGCUCUUGGGCAUGUGUCCGAAAGUAUUCAUAGGGUACACUGUGAGAAGUGGAACCUCUCAAUCAGAGGAUAUGUGCGUUUUUAAUUUCUACAGUUAUUGCCUAGGGCCCUUCCAAAAGGUGGUAUCGUCCCACACCCAGCAACAGUGCCCGUGUGAGGGUGCCCGUAUCCAGCCCCCUCGCACCCCCUGGCAAGGACGCAGUGUGUCAGGGGAAGCAAACCAGCCCCAAAUGAGUUGCAGAUAAACCUGCCAGGAAUUUCAGCGAAUGAAACGUGGACUGUGUAAAGGCCAGAGGACAGAAAACGCUCCACUUUUGAUGAAAGGAGGUCUGCUCGGCUUCGAAUCCUCCCUCCUGCUGGUCAGGAGACGCAAGGAUAUAUCCAGAGGAGCUGAUGAAUUGAGGGGAAAAAAACAAGGCCACUGUGAGUUGCCUUUCAAGUGCUGUGCUGAUAUAAAAACCAAACAACUUGAAACUGUUCCAAGAGGGGAUUAAAGCAACAUGUUAUUGUGAGUGAUUGCUUAAUUUAUUGAGCUGUGGCAAGAUCUGUAAUGAAACACAGCUCUUGCAACUGAUAACCUCCUGCUGCAAUUGAACUUGACAAUUAAGGAAUAUUUUCCAAGGAUUUUUCUGGAACAGCUUAGGAUUUUUCGUCUCCGUGGUGGGGUGCUUCUCAGCACUCAUUUUUGCAGGCAAGCUUUUUUAUUUUUUUAAAGAACGAAAGGCUGACAUUAAUGAGGAAAUAAGUGGCAUUUUAUUGAAUGCCUUGUGGGCCCAGGCACUUAAUAUACAUUAUUUCUAACCCUGACAACAACCCAAUGAAGUAACUCUUAUUAGUCCCUAUUUUAAAGAUACAGGGUUUCUAGGUGUUAAGUAAUUUUCCACAGUGAUGUUGUCCAAGUCAGUAGCCAUUAGCCACUUGUGGCUACUUAUGUCUAAAUUAGUUAAAAAUUGAAAAAUUCACUUCCUAGGUUGCAGUAGUGACUAGUUCAAGUGCCCACUCACUUGUGUGGCUACUGGGUACCACACUGGACAGUGCAGAUGUAGGCCAUUUGGAUGCCUGGAAAGUCCUAGUGAUCAGCAUUGUCCCAGAUUUUGUAGGUAGAAACUGGCAGUGCUAGAAUUCAAACCAGAGCCGAUGAGCUUUGAAGGCAGCACUAUUCUGUCAUUACCCCUUCUUUCUUCGCUUCCUCGGGCUGAGAGGUAAGCACUAGAGCUGUGACUGUAAACCCUGGCUGCACAUUCAAAUUACCUGAACUGCUUUAAGAAAAUAUUGAUGGAUCUCCUGGCCCUGGACAUUCUUCGGUUCGCAGACCAGCAUUCAAUCCACCAAGCCACACCAGCCAGGGCUGGAAAUUCGGACUUAGCUGUGAUUUGGGGGUGCGGAGGCAGGUGCAAGGAGUUUUUAUAAUUCCCGAUGUGGACAGCCAGGAUUGAGAGCAGCUAGAUGAGAGGGUCCACACAGUACGGUGGAAAGAAUUGGUCCAUCUGCCAUGAGGAUGCGGUCCCUUGUGGACCCAGACGUGGCCUUCCAUCAGGGCCACAUCCAAGCCUUUCAUCGGACACUCAGUUUCAUUUCUGAAGGAUAGAUUUAAAUUCUCUCUCACAGGAUUCCUGCUUGAUGGGAGGCACAGUGAGGCGCUCUGCUUUCAGAACCAGGGCUUGUCACACUGUGGUGGAGGGAGGAGAUGGGGAUGUAGGAUCAUGGAGACAAAGUGGAGCCCACAGCCCCAAAUUUGGAUUGGGAGCAUCAGGAUGAACUCAUGCUAUAAUUUGCCUUACAGAAUAAAGCAUGUGUUUCCUAGCUCCAUCCACAGAAAAAGUUAGACAUGAUUAACAGUUCGGCAGCAGUGAGCACCGCCAGCACUCAGAUUAGGGUCUCUAAACACCACUUCUAUGAGAAAUCAGGGCUCUGUGCAGAUACAGCUAAUUCCAGGUCUGAGGGAGGACAUGUGCCAGACGGGCCAAAACAUCUGUCACUCAGGUAGCAUGGAAGCUCUCAACGCUUCCUGGGUUCAUGUCAGAAAAGAUGAAGAGGACAGUGUGAUAGGACAGGUGGCCAGAGACGGGACAGUUUGAGCAUCAAGAGGAAGAAUAACUGCGCUGGACUGAAGUGUGUAUAUACGUCCAAAUCUAUGAGUGC